rnacentral:lncRNA from 1 species
GAUGCGCACACCCUCACUAAAUUAAUUACAAUUUCCAUUUAUCCAUUUUCUUUCAUCGAAGCAAAGAGUUGUAUCUCUCAAUAGAGAAUUUGGUGGUUAACAAAUCAUUGAUUAUAAUGGAGAUUCACUUUGGUUAUUUAUUAAUUACUUCAUCUUUGUCGUAAUGAGUUUUAAUCUAAGUUCUUUGUCUUUAAUUACUAUCUCGCUCACUUUGAGUUAAAACACUUUUGUGUUGGUAUGUUAAAUUUUCUUAUGAAGUAAUAUUAUUCAUGUGAUAUUUGUGUUGAUAUGUUAAUUUUUCUUAUGAAGUAAUAUUAUUCAUGUGAUA